GUUUUGAAAUUCAUUCACCCCAUUGGUCCGAGAGUCAAAGCCCGCCACCUCGUUCGCUGUGAAAAGGGAGUGUGGGAGGUCAGUCGGGUGUGGGUUCCGGAGCGCGCAGCGGUGUGCGCCGCCUGAAGAGACCUCGCCGUGGAGAAGCAGCAGCGCCGAGCCGAUGGAGCGGCCGUGUCUGCAGGCGCACGGAGAGCCUCGUGGCUGAGUUGCCCCUGCAACUCUCUUAAAAGAGCGAUCACUGAGGGUGUUGUUGAGCCUUCGGAGCAUACGGCGCCUUUUUGAAGGCGCCCGGCUCCCGGAUGGUCUCAGCACCCGAAGAGGCUCCGCGGGCGGGCUGGAGCAGGCAGCGGGCGCCGGCCGAAGGUCCAGAGCUUUGUGUGAGGCAGCAGCAGCAUCGCGGGAGGUGAAGCUGGAUGUCGGCGUUGGAGGUGACGUGUGCCCGGUGAGCCGUGAGCGCUAGCCAGAAGCCGUUGCUGUCGCUGAAGUCUGACUCGGUGGUGCCAGUCUAAGCCUCCAGGACGGGAGUAAAUAGAAGGGGAGCGUACGUACCUUUGCCACGGGAUGGGUUUCACGUGGGGCUCAUGCCCGUUGUUGCCGCUUCCUUUCCUUGGAGGGCUGAAAUUGCAGGAAAGGCCAGCUUGUCCAGCAUGGGAAAGGUUUCU